GCCUCUAUGGCGCAAUCGGUAGCGCGCUUGACUUCUACAAUGCCAUCCAUAGGGUAAAAGAAGUUGCUAUCAAGAGGCUCUGGGUUCGACCCCCAGUAGAGGCU